rnacentral:rRNA from 1 species
UACAGAGGGUGCAAGCGUUGUUCGGAAUUAUUGGGCGUAAAGGGAGUGUAGGCGGUUGCCUAAGUCUUCUGUGAAAGCUGCGGGCUUAGCCUGCAAAGUGCAGAGGAAACUGGGUAACUUGAGUGUCGGAGAGGAUAGGGGAAUACCCGGGUGUAGAGGUGAAAUUCGUAGAGAUCGGGUGGAACACCAGUGGCGGAAGGCGCCUGUCUGGCUGACAACUGACGCUGAGACUCGAAGCAUGGGGAGCAAACAGG